rnacentral:lncRNA from 1 species
AAUUCAUAACCACACUUUCAUUAACAGCACAACUCAUAGAAUAUUUACAAUACUAUUUACAGCAUAAAAGUCUCACACCUAUCUACACUAAAACAGGGUUCACAAAAGGGAUGGGAUCUCAAUCCACAUCUGGGUCAUAUUCAAGAUCCCUCUCUGGAUCAUCUUCUACUUCAAAAUACUUUCUCCUUCCUCAGCUUCUCCUUCCUCAGCUUUUCCUCAGGGUCCUGAAAUGGUUAUUCAAUAACCAAUGAGACCACGUCUCAGCGAG